rnacentral:scRNA from 14 species
GGCAACAGUGGGAAUAGAUAUAGAAAGUAGACAGAACCAGCAGCCUGUUUCUCCCCAGCACUUUGAAGUUAUGUGCAUGGGAUAGUGUGGCAGCUGAUACUUCAGGAUUCUGCCAGUGUGUGUUCCGAGAGUGAUCGGUUCAUAGCUGACUGCUAUCCAACAGAACCCAUGAUGCAGGAGUCUUGAUGAGUGGUGGAUGGGUGUGACCGUGUAUGAUCUCAAGUUUUCAAUCUGAGACC